rnacentral:rRNA from 1 species
AGUGAACGCUGGCGGUAGGCCUAACACAUGCAAGUCGAACGGCAGCACAGUAAGAGCUUGCUCUUACGGGUGGCGAGUGGCGGACGGGUGAGGAAUACAUUGGAAUCUACUUUUUCGUGGGGGAUAACGUAGGGAAACUUACGCUAAUUCCGCAUACGACCUACGGGUGAAAGCAGGGGAUCUUCGGACCUUGCGCGAUUGAAUGAGCCGAUGUCGGAUUAGCUAGUUGGCGGGGUAAAGGCCCACCAAGGCGACGAUCCGUAGCUGGUCUGAGAGGAUGAUCAGCCACACUGGAACUGAGACACGGUCCAGACUCCUACGGGAGGCAGCAGUGGGGAAUAUUGGACAAUGGGCGCAAGCCUGAUCCAGCCAUACCGCGUGGGUGAAGAAGGCCUUCGGGUUGUAAAGCCCUUUUGUUGGGAAAGAAAAGCAGCAGGUUAAUACCCCGCUGUUCUGACGGUACCCAAAGAAUAAGCACCGGCUAACUUCGUG